rnacentral:rRNA from 1 species
UACGUAGGGUGCGAGCGUUGUCAGGAUUUAUUGGGCGUAAAGAGCUUGUAGGCGGCUCGUCACGUCGGGUGUGAAAACUCGCGGCUCAACCGCGAGCCUGCACCCGAUACGGGCGGGCUAGAGUUCGGUAGGGGAGACUGGAAUUCCUGGUGUAGCGGUGGAAUGCGCAGAUAUCAGGAGGAACACCGGUGGCGAAGGCGGGUCUCUGGGCCGAUACUGACGCUGAGAAGCGAAAGCGUGGGGAGCGAACAGG